UAGUCCUAGCUGUAAACGAUGAGCACUUGAUCGAAGACUCCUCCAUAGGUUUUCGGUCGUAGCGAAAGUGUUAAGUGCUCCGCCUGGGGAGUAUGGCCGCAAGGCUGAAACUCAAAGGAAUUGACGGGGGCUCACACAAGCGGUGGAGGAUGUGGCUUAAUUCGAGGCUACGCGAAGAACCUUAUCCUGGUCUUGACAUGCUUGGGAAUAUCCGUGAAAGCGGAUAGUGCCUUUCGGGGAGCCCUUGCACAGGUGCUGCAUGGCUGUCGUCAGCUCGUGUCGUGAGAUGUCGGGUUAAGUCCCUUAACGAGCGAAACCCUUAUCUCUAGUUGCCAGCGCGUUAUGGCGGGGACUCUAGAGAGACUGCCGGUGUUAAACCGGAGGAAGGCGGGGGAUGACGUCAAGUCCUCAUGGCCUUUAUGAUCAGGGGCUGCACACGUCCUACAAUGCGUCAUACAAAGGGGAAGCAACCUCGCGAGAGCAAGCAAAUCCCAGAAAGU
rnacentral:rRNA from 1 species